GCUAUCAUUUGGGAGCAAUGAGUUUAAAACCCUUCACCUACCCGUUUCCAGAGACGAGAUUUCUUCAUGCAGGACCCAAUGUGUAUAAAUUCAAAAUUAGAUAUGGCAACAACAUCAGAGAACUUCCCAGAAGGAGGUGGAGGACCAAGAAACCACCUGCCUGCUUGGUGACACCUCGUGAAGGGGCAGGAUCAAGAAUCUUCUGGAUGUUCUGUGGAAUUGACAUGGAUUCUAUUCGUGUAGUCUUGGGAAACCUGGACAGUUUGCAGCCAUUUGCUACAGAGCACUUCAUUAUAUUUCCCUAUAAAAGCAAAUGGGAGAGCAUAUCCCACCUGAAAUUCAAACAUGGGGAAAUUGUCUUGGUCCCCUAUCCAUUUGUUUUCACUCUGUAUGUGGAGAUGAAAUGGUUUCAUGAAAGUCUGUCAGCAGGGAAACCAAUAAAAGACAGUCCUCUUGGAUUGGUCCUCACAGAGAGGAAAGCAGCAGGAGCCAUGAUGAGGAAACGAAAACAAGUGGAAGUGCUCAGCUCCCCCAGCAGGCCAGGGCUGGACAGGGCCAAGAUCGGGAUUUCCAGCCAAAGCCCCAGCAAAAAGAAGCCCCUUAUGGAAACCAGGAGGAACAGGGAAGGAAAAACCCAUCAGGAAUGGCAAGAGACCCCAGCAUUUAAUAUCACUGAUGUCCAGGAACAGGAUUCUAAGUCAGAGGACAGCCCAGCAGGGCAGAUCAUUCCCCCACUGCAGCAAAACAAUCCACUUCCACCUAAAGGACCCACAGAGCUGGCAACUGGUGGCUUCUUUGGGUUUCUAAGCUCUCUCUUCCCCUUUCGCUACUUCUUCAGAAAGAGCAGCCAGUGAGCUUUCCAGAUGCAGCAGUGGGAGAGUGUCCUCUUGCAGUGACUCUUCCCAUUCCAUCCUGUGUAUGACAUUUCAGUCAUGGGCAAUGUUGGCCCCAAACUCCCAGAGUCCUCUUGCUGAUUUGCCCUGUUCUUUGCCCCUUUACAAUGGAUUUUUUUUUUUAAUUUAAAACACUAAGAAAAGAAUAGAACUUCCUAAAAUGUUCUAGUCUGAGAACUGUACUGCUCUGAAGGCCAGUUUAGGUCUUUCAUCUCCAGCACUUAGGAUCUCAAUGAAAAUAAAUUAUUUAUGAAGAAUUAUUGACUGAAUUUCAUGAAGUAGAGAGAAAGCAAACUCUUUCCUGAAGAUACAGGGAAGCAAUGCCUGAAACCUUCCUUGGGUCUACCUGGUUAUUGUUGGCAGGAUGCUUUGGGAGAGUGGGAUCUGUACUUGACCUCAAACCUUAGUCUUAGCCUCCCUGCCAGGGCUUAGGGAAUGGGGUCUUAUAAUGGGGUCUUUCCUGAGCCCUGCUGACCCUCAAGAUAUCAUCUAUUCCCAAUUCACCCAGUUUGGCCCCAAAGCACACUCUCAGUAGGUAAAUGCUUUCCACUCACCUAUCCCUCUGGCUUUUAACAGUAACUUAGUUUAGAUUCUCAUAUUAACUGCAAGUCAGCCCAGGUUAGGGCCCCUAGGGAGAAGACCAGGGCACCUGAGCUCUGACUUCAUGUAACCCAAGGGCUGACCUGGGACAGACAGGUUAGACUUCUGUUGUGUGGCCACAGAAGAUCAAAUAGGUGGGAAUUUAGGGAAACUCAAAUUAGCUCAGAACAAAGGAAUCUGUUAUAAAUGUCCAGUAUUAGAAUGGGCCACCUUGUAAGAUAGUCCUUGUCACUUCUAGUCUUUAAACAGAGCUGAUGGUCUGUCACAUGCUGGAAGGUUCCCAUGAUGAAUGGCAGAAUUGGGGCUGGGAUGUUGAGGUCCUUGGAGUCCCCUUGUUUUGGUUGCCUUACCCUGAAUAGGGAGAUGUGGCUGCUGUAGACAGGCCCAGGUCCUGAGAGGAAUUGGCUGAAGAGGAACUGGAGGAAUAAGGACAAGUUGAGUUCAUUGCCUUUGUCCUACUGUCCCGAACAAGGCCUGCUUUACAAAGCCACUGAAAGGUUCAACUCCAGAAUCUAGAGAUCUGCAUGCCAUUUUGACUCUGACUAGCUUACAGUGAAGCCUUGACAAAGUCACUUUCCUCUCUGGUUCUGAUUUUCUCUUCUGAAAAAUGAAGGGAUAGGAUUCAAUGAGCUCUUAGGCACCUUCAAGCUAUAGUGGUGUGUGUGGCCGGUUCUGCCUCUCUGAGCAAAUCAGUGAGGCAGUGGCCCUGGUGUGUGUGUGGGGGUGUCUGUGUGUGUGUGUGUGUGGCAACUACCAUAGACUUCUUUCUGAUCUCUGGCCUGCCCUAGCCCAUGCAGCUAGUACUGACAAGGGGAAUCUUUUCCAACUUGCUACAUUCUUGCCCCAAGUGUAAUUUAGCACCAUGUAUGGAGAACAGAUUUGGCCUGACAUUAACUCUGUUACCUUUAGUAGCUUUCCUUCUCUAAGCCUUAGAUGCUUUACCUGUAAAACCAGAGCCAGAGCUAGAUGAAAUAAUGGGAUUUGCUGGGGUUGACAGCUUCAGACAGUUCUAGGAGUCAGGUCCCUGUUAUUCCAGGGACUAGGAGGAGCCCCACUCUGUGCCUGACCCCCAGGAUGAGUCAUCUGCCUAACAGUGAAAAUGAAGCUCUGAAAUGGACUUAGAACCCUCCAUUCUCCCCAACUCCGCCACUAAGCUUAUCUCAGGAGGCUCUUACUGGUGUCAUUUCCCUUGUCUAAAAAAAUAUCCUCCCCACACUUUUCCUAUAUAGUGGAUAAGGUUACAAGCAGGAAUGAGUUUAGUAGCUUCAAGGUUGGGGUAGCAAGGCCCUGAACAGGGGAGUGUCUUGGCCCAAGGUCACACAGCAAAGAAGGGAAGAGCCCUGGUGGCCAAAACGCAGCCCAACUGGGGCAGUCUCUUUCCCCAGUCACACAUAUGCUACCCGCUGCACCAGCUCCUGGUUUUUUUUUCCACAUCUCACUUCCCCCAACCCUGGACCUCAGGCAGCAGAAAGCAGAAGCCUCUCUCUGAGGACCACACCUCAGAGAAGAGCUGGAUCUCCCAGGUGGGAUUGCUCUGAGGCCUCUGGCAGGGAGGCAGGCCUGUAAGCUGAUCUCCAAGAGGGCGUGGCUCCAGAAUGCUGGCAAAUAAAAAUCCAGAGAGCCAGCACUGUCUGGAGACCAGCAGAAGACCUGAGGAACCCAUUCAGCAAACCAUUCAGUUCCUGGGCCUUGGAAGUGAUACCCAUGGCAUCUCCCCAAACGCUGUUCCUCUGCCUGCUGGUCCUGGCGGUCACUGAAGGUUGGGGUCGGCAGGCGGCCAUCCCAGGCUGCCACUUGCACCCCUUCAAUGUGACAGUGCGAAGUGAUCGCCAAGGCACCUGCCAGGGCUCGCAUGUGGCACAGGCCUGCGUGGGCCACUGUGAGUCUAGUGCCUUCCCUUCCCGGUACUCUGUGCUGGUGGCCAGUGGAUAUCGACAUAACAUGACCUCCGUCUCUCAGUGCUGUACCAUCAGUGGCCUGAAGAAGGUGAAGGUGCAGCUGCAGUGUGGGGGGGACCAGAAGGAGGAGCUGGAGAUCUUCACAGCCAGGGACUGCCAGUGUGACAUGUGUCGCCUUUCGCGCUACUAGCUCAUCCUUUCCCUUCCUCCUUUGCCUUGGUCAGAGGGUUUGAGUUGGAGUAUAUCUUGUAUAUCCCAAGCCUCAUUCAGGACAAUUCCAGCUUCCUUAAGAUUCUGUGAUUGUCGCCAGUUUCUGCCUCUCUCCUACCUCUGCCUGGCCUCCUAACCAGACUGUCAUCACUUCACUCCCCUCUUUGUACCUACCCCUAAAUAAAGCAAGCAGUUCUCAA